UGUGUGGGCUCCGCGCGCUGCGGGCUGCGGGAGGGUCCGGCCGGGCGUCUCUGCGAGCCUGGAGUUUGCAUGAAACUUUCACCUGCGCUCCGGGGAGACUUUCGGCUCCGGCUCCCACCGCGCGCCUCGCCGCCCUCGCGACCGCGGGCUCCGUCCAACCCGGCCCGACAUGGACGUGCUCCCCAUGUGCAGCAUCUUCCAGGAGCUCCAGAUCGUGCACGAGACCGGCUACUUCUCGGCGCUGCCGUCUCUGGAGGAGUACUGGCAACAGUGGCUAGAAAGUUUGAAAUGGUGGGGAGAGGGGAUGCUGAUCUCGGCAGUUGUAGCUUCUUGAAAGACCUGCCUAGAGCUGGAACGUUACCUCCAGAGCGAGCCCUGCUAUGUUUCAGCCUCAGAAAUCAAAUUUGACAGCCAGGAAGAUCUGUGGACCAAAAUCAUUCUGGCUCGGGAGAAAAAGGAGGAAUCCGAACUGAAGGUAUCUUCCAGUCCUCCAGAGGACACUCUCAUCAGCCCGAGCUUUUGUUACAACUUAGAGACCAACAGCCUGAACUCAGAUGUCAGCAGCGAAUCCUCUGACAGCUCCGAGGAACUUUCUCCCACGGCCAAGUUUACCUCCGACCCCAUUGGCGAAGUUUUGGUCAGCUCGGGAAAAUUGAGCUCCUCUGUCACCUCCACGCCUCCAUCUUCUCCGGAACUGAGCAGGGAACCUUCUCAACUGUGGGGUUGCGUGCCCGGGGAGCUGCC
rnacentral:sRNA from 1 species